GCAAGAUUGUGUGCAUCGUCCUUGGUGACCAACCCAUUAGCUUUGCUUGGGGGAGAUUAGAUCCCUUUAUCUGCUUUACAGAGGAAAACAGAAACAAUGGAAUACAAAAGAAAACAACGACAAAAAAACUCUUAAGAUUCAAGUAAAAGAAGAUAGAAAGUGGAGAAGCAAGUUCUGGUUACAAACCACAGCCCCAUAAUUUUACACUCUACAAACAUCUAAAUAAGCAAAAUCAUGCCGCAUAAACAUGCUGAUAAAGGACUACCACAGUGUUUCAUAGCCUUAGGGGAGAGAAAAGACAGCAUAUAUACUUUUUUUUCCCCACAAAAGAGACAUUCUCUAUAGCUUCAGAAAAACUACUGUUUCUAAAAAAAAAAAAAAAAAACUGCAAUGUCUCUCCAAUUUCACAUUUAAAGUAUCAUAAACAGGGACAUUUAGAGAGAUUAAGAUGUUUGUGAAUCAAAAGUGUGCAUAAUUGCUAGUGAAGCAUUUAGCUUGAGCAGCUCUCUAAGACCCUGAAGUAGCAAUUAGUCCCUAAAUAUAAGAUGCACUUAUUCAAUAUUAAACAGAAAGCAAACUCUGUGUUUAAUACCCAACCAGCCCAUGGACGUCCCCCAGUAGCUCUCGUCGAUAUACAUGGACCCAAAGGCGUAUUUUUAUUGUCAGUUCAUAGACUUGUAAUUCCUGGUUCAGGGGGAAAAGCCAGUCAGUUGAAGGCAGUGUACCUGCGCCUACUGUUGGGGUAGGUCGCUGUGAGGGAGGAGGAGCGAGGGCGGGUUCUAUGGACGAGUGUCGCACGCAAGCGUGAAGAAGGCACAGUGUGCCCAUCGUCGUGGAUAACCACUACGCGCUAGUAAGCAGAGCUUGCUUCUUGUUGGCUGGCACUGAACACUGCUGUCUGACUCCAGCACCGGGAGCAGCUGCCCUGCAGACAGGCAAGGCCACGCUGGGCGUCCUGCUCGGAGGCGCACGACGGCAGUGGUCCCCGCACAGCCCGCGGGGGCAGCGCGGCGCUCAGCAGCUGCAGCUCGCGCUCGGCGCUCAGCCCUUCGCGAGAUGGGGGGCCGGGAAAUGUGGAGGUCACACGCAACCGAGCACAACUGCGCCGGGAAGAAGGACAGCGAGAGCCGCGCGGCGGGGUGGCUGCGCCUCGAGACCGCAGGUGUUAUAACAGAGUUGGGAAAAGACAGCAAUUUAGAGCGUUUGAAGUGAAAGAUGCAAUAAAAGAAGAAAUUGGAUAACACUCCCAUACAAGAUACUCGGAAUCAAAGUGUCUCUGGCAGGUGCUCAUCUCAAGAGAACGCAAUUGUACGGAAAAGUUAACGCCAUCCCUCACCCCAACACAGGACCACUUUAUGGCAGGGUUCCAAGC